rnacentral:rRNA from 1 species
AGAGUUUGAUCCUGGCUCAGAACGAACGCUGGCGGCGUGGAUUAGGCAUGCAAGUCGAACGCGAGGAGGAUCUUAACAUACCUUCGGGUGUGAGCGGAUCCUUAGUAGAGUGGCGAACGGGUGAGUAACACGUGGGCAACCUGCCCUCGAGUUGGGGAUAACACUCCCAACGGGGCGCUAAUACCGAAUGACAUCGCACGUCAUAAGUCGUGUGAUCAAAGGCAGCCUCUGCUUGCAAGCUGCCGCUUGAGGAUGGGCCCGCGUCCCAUUAGCUUGAUGGUGAGGUAACGGCUCACCAUGGCUGUGAUGGGUAGCUGGUCUGAGAGGAUGGUCAGCCACACUGGGAUUGAGAUACGGCCCAGACUCCUUCGGGAGGCAGCAGUCGAGAGGCUUUGUCAAUGGGGGAAACCCUGAACAAGCGACGCCGCGUGGGUGAUGAAGGUCUUCGGAUCGUAAAGCCCUGUCAUGAGGGAAGAAAGGCCAGGGGUUAAUAGCCCGCUGGUCUUGACGGUACCUCAGGAGGAAGCUCCGGCAAACUCCGUGCCAGCAGCCGCGGUAAUACGGAGGGAGCGAGCGUUGUUCGGAUUUACUGGGCGUAAAGGGCGUGUAGGCGGCCUUGUAAGUCGGGCGUGAAAUCCUCUGGCUCAACCAGGGACGCGCACUCAAUACUGCAAGGCUUGAGUACAGGAGAGGAAAGCGGAAUUCUUGGUGUAGCGGUGAAAUGCGUAGAUAUCAAGAAGAACACCAGUGGCGAAGGCGGCUUUCUGGCCUGUUACUGACGCUGAGGCGCGAAAGCUAGGGGAGCGAACAGGAUUAGAUACCCUGGUAGUCCUAGCCGUAAACGUUGGGCACUAGGUGUAGGGGGUAUCGACCCCCUCUGUGCCGAAGCUAACGCAUUAAGUGCCCCGCCUGGGGAGUACGGCCGCAAGGCUGAAACUCAAAGGAAUUGACGGGGGCCCGCACAAGCGGUGGAGCAUGUGGUUCAAUUCGAUGCGACGCGAAGAACCUUACCCGGGCUUGACAUGUACCGGACCGGUGUGGAAACACACCUUCCCUUCGGGGCUGGUACACAGGUGCUGCAUGGCUGUCGUCAGCUCGUGCCGUGAGGUGUUAGGUUAAGUCCUGCAACGAGCGCAACCCCUGCUCUUAGUUGCCAGUUUGUCUCCGGAUGAAGGCACUCUAAGGGGACUGCCGCAGACAAUGUGGAGGAAGGUGGGGAUGAUGUCAAGUCAUCAUGGUCUUUAUGUCCAGGGCUACACACGUCCUACAGUGCCUAUUACAACGGGAAGCGAUACCGUAAGGUGGAGCAAAUCCUUUAAAGAUAGGCAUGGUUCGGAUUGAGGGCUGCAAUUCGCCCUCAUGAAGACGGAAUCGCUAGUAAUCGCAGAUCAGCUUGCUGCGGUGAAUACGUUCUCGGGUCUUGUACACACCGCCCGUCAAGCCAUGGAAGUCCACAAUACCUGAAGUC